rnacentral:rRNA from 1 species
GCUUAGCCUUAAACUUAGAUGUUUAAACUACAAGAAACAUCCGCCAGGGUACUACGAGCGCUAGCUUAAAACCCAAAGGACUUGACGGUGUCUCAGACCCACCUAGAGGAGCCUGUCCUAGAACCGAUAAUCCACGUUUAACCUCACCACUUCUUGUUCCCCCCGCCUAUAUACCGCCGUCGUAAGCUUACCCUGUGAAGGAUUAACAGUAAGCAUAAUGGGAAACUCCCAAAACGUCAGGUCGAGGUGUAGCUUAUGAAGUGGGAAGAGAUGGGCUACAUUUUCUACACCAGAAUAUACGAAUGGCACUAUGAAACUAAUGCCUGAAGGUGGAUUUAGAAGUAAAAAUCAAUUAGAGAGUCAUUUUGAACCAGCUCU